rnacentral:tRNA from 1 species
UGGGCUGAGCGGCGGGGCCCGCCGGGGGCCUCAGGCCCCCGCGCCCCGGGUUCCGCGCCGGAUCAGCCCGUCCA